rnacentral:rRNA from 1 species
AACGAACGCUGGCGGCAGGCCUAACACAUGCAAGUCGAGCGGGGGAGCAAUCCCUAGCGGCGGACGGGUGAGUAACGCGUGGGAACGUACCCUUUGCUUCGGAAUAGCCCCGGGAAACUGGGAGUAAUACCGGAUGUGCCCUACGGGGGAAAGAAUUUCGGCAAAGGAUCGGCCCGCGUUGGAUUAGGUAGUUGGUGGGGUAAUGGCCUACCAAGCCGACGAUCCAUAGCUGGUUUGAGAGGAUGAUCAGCCACACUGGGACUGAGACACGGCCCAGACUCCUACGGGAGGCAGCAGUGGGGAAUCUUAGACAAUGGGCGCAAGCCUGAUCUAGCCAUGCCGCGUGAGCGAUGAAGGCCUUAGGGUUGUAAAGCUCUUUCGUGGGGGAAGAUAAUGACGGUACCCCAAGAAGAAGCCCCGGCUAACUCCGUGCCAGCAGCCGCGGUAAU